UACGUAGGGGGCAAGCGUUGUCCGGAUUUACUGGGCGUAAAGAGCGUGUAGGCGGCCAGGUAGGUCUGCUGUGAAAACUCGAGGCUCAACCUCGAGACGUCGGCGGAAACCAUCUGGCUAGAGUCCGGAAGAGGAGAGUGGAAUUCCUGGUGUAGCGGUGAAAUGCGCAGAUAUCAGGAAGAACACCCGUGGCGAAGGCGGCUCUCUGGGACGGUACUGACGCUGAGACGCGAAAGCGUGGGGAGCGAACAGG
rnacentral:rRNA from 1 species